GACGAACGCUGGCGGCGUGCCCAAUACAUGCAAGUCGAACGCACUCUCGUUUAGAUUGAAGGAGCUUGCUCCUGAUUGAUAAACAUUUGAGUGAGUGGCGGACGGGUGAGUAACACGUGGGUAACCUGCCCUAAAGUGGGGGAUAACAUUUGGAAACAGAUGCUAAUACCGCAUAAAACCUAACACCGCAUGGUGUAGGGUUGAAAGAUGGUUUCGGCUAUCACUUUGGGAUGGACCCGCGGUGCAUUAGUUAGUGGUGAGGUAAAGGCUCACCAAGACCGUGAUGCAUAGCCGACCUAA
rnacentral:rRNA from 1 species